rnacentral:rRNA from 1 species
CACGUAGGGGGCGAGCGUUUGUCCGGAUUUAUUGGGCGUAAAGAGCUCGUAGGCGGCUCAGUAAGUCGGGUGUGAAAACUCCAGGCUCAACCUGGAGACGCCACCUGAUACUGCUGUGGCUAGAGUCCGGUAGGGGAGCAUGGAAUUCCUGGUGUAGCGGUGAAAUGCGCAGAUAUCAGGAGGAACACCAGUGGCGAAGGCGGUGCUCUGGGCCGGAACUGACGCUGAGGAGCGAAAGCGUGGGGAGCGAACAGG